UGGGGAAUAUUGCACAAUGGGCGCAAGCCUGAUGCAGCAACGCCGCGUGAACGAUGAAGGUCUUCGGAUCGUAAAGUUCUGUUGCAGGGGAAGAUAAUGACGGUACCCUGUGAGGAAGCCCCGGCUAACUACGUGCCAGCAGCCGCGGUAAUACGGAAGGUCCGGGCGUUAUCCGGAUUUAUUGGGUUUAAAGGGAGCGUAGGCUGUCUAUUAAGCGUGUUGUGAAAUUUACCGGCUCAACCGGUGGCUUGCAGCGCGAACUGGUCGACUUGAGUAUGCAGGAAGUAGGCGGAAUUCAUGGUGUAGCGGUGAAAUGCUUAGAUAUCAUGACGAACUCCGAUUGCGCAGGCAGCUUACUGUAGCAUAACUGACGCUGAUGCUCGAAAGUGCGGGUAUCAAACAGG
rnacentral:rRNA from 1 species